rnacentral:rRNA from 1 species
AUGAAAACCUUCAUCAAAACUCAAGUCCAGUCUUGUUUGGUAUGCCAGCAAGCUAAACCAGAGAGAGUUCAGUACCCUGGAUUGUUGUCUCCUCUGCCAGUACCUUCCAAAGCUUGGGAUACUGUAUCCAUGGAUUUUAUCUCAGGUCUUCCUACAUCCUUCCAAUACAACUGCAUAUUGGUGGUAAUUGACAAGUUCUCUAAAUAUGGCCAUCUCAUUCCUCUCUCACACCCCUUCAAUGCUCAGAAAGUGGCUGAUGUUUUUAUAGAUAAUGCGUACAAGUUACAUGGUAUGCCCAGGCUCAUAAUCUGCGAAAGAGAUCCAAUCUUCACUAGCACCUUCUGGCAGCUGCUUAUAUCAAGAACUGGAGCAGAACUCAACAUGAGCACAGCUUAUCACCCAGAAACUGACGGCCAAACUGAAAGGGUAAAUCAGCAAAUUGAGUGCUUCUUGCGAUGUUUCAUUAGUGCUCAUCCUACUAAGUGGAGCAAAUGGCUGUCACUUUGUGAGUUCUGGUACAAUACCAACUGGCAUUCUGCACUGAACAGAUCGCCCUUCGAGAUCAUUUAUGGACAGACACCGUGGUUUUUUGGGAUAUCUGCUUCUAAUACAAUUGCUCCUGUCGAUAUUCAAUCAUGGUUGGACUCCCGACAGUUGAUGAUCGCUUCAGUCAGACAGCAUUUGCUGCGUGUUCAGCAGAGAAUGAAACAUCAGGCAGACAAGAAACGGACUGAGCGUGUUUUUGCUGUCAACGAUCUCGUAUUCCUCAAACUGCAACCAUACGUGCAAUCAUCAGUUGUCAGACGAGCCAAUCAUAAGCUUUCCUUCAAGUAUUUUGGUCCUUACAAGAUCCUCGACAAAAUUGGCGAUGUUGCAUACAGACUGGAGCUGCCUCCUGACAGUCGCAUACAUCCAGUGUUUCAUGUAUCUCAGCUCAAGAAAUUCAUCCCACCAAUGACCCCGGUGCACACACAGUUACCUUCCCCUACA